GGAAGUAAAAGUCGUAACAAGGUUUCCGUAGGUGAACCUGCGGAAGGAUCAUUACUGAUUUAGCGAACCGAGCGUUAGCGAGGUUUUGCGAUCAACUUAUAUUUAAAACCCACUCUUUUAAUGUAUAAAAUUUUUAUAUAAUAAUAAUAAAAAAAGAUCACUUUCAACAACGGAUCUCUUGGCUCUCGCAUCGAUGAAGAACGUAGCGAAGUGCGAUAAGUAAUGUGAAUUGCAGUAUUCCGUGAAUCAUCGAAUCUUUGAACGCAUAUUGCACUUUCUGGUAUUCCGGAAAGUAUGCCUGUUUGAGGGUCAGUUAAAUAAAAAUCGGUGUUGUUGCUGCCUUUCGUGGUGACGCGUCGGAGUUGAGUCGUCUUACCUUUGGUUAAGUGACUUAAAAUUUUGUAUGAUUUUCGAACGUAUUUAAAUUUGUACGUAAGAUAUCGAAUAUUUAUUAGGUUCGGUUAUCCUCAUGACUCGCGCCUAUAAUUUUCAUUAAAUGACCUCAAAUCAGGUAAGAAUACCCGCUGAACUUAAGCAUAUCAAUAAGCGGAGGA
rnacentral:rRNA from 1 species